UUAAAUUGCUGUGGUAUUUUGACUAUACGAAGGUAUUGAAAUAAGGCUUUAAAUGAGUGCUAAGAGAAUGGUUGAACGAUUAAAGACUUUCUUUAGUUAAUAAAUUGAAGUUAAUGUUUUUGUGAAGAAGCAAAAAUGAUAAUUAGGGACAAGAAGACCCUAUGAAUUUUUAAAUCAAGAUAUUGUUUAUUUUAAAUAUUUUUGAUUUUAAUUGGGGCGAUAGGAAAAGAAUGAUUAUCUUUUCUUUAUGAGUUAAUUUGACCCAUUAGUAAUGAUUAAAUGAUUAAAAUACUCUAGGG
rnacentral:rRNA from 1 species